GGCAUUGCGAAAGCGUUUGGGUGAGCGAUGACAGGGUUCUGAGCCACAGCAGUGGUGACGGGCAGAAAGCAGUGGAUGGCUGGCGAUGAAGAAGCCAAGUCUCCGGACAGACUGGGAGUGGGCAGGAGGUGGUCCAAGGGCAGCCUCUGUGUGUGUGUGUGUGUGUUUGUGUGUGUGUGUGUGUGUGUGUGUGUGUGUGUGUGUCUGUGUGUGUGUGUGUGUCUGUGUGUGUGUGUGUGUUUGUGUGUCUGUGUCUGUGUGUGUGUUUUAACUAAGACAGCACAGGGUGCUGGACCUAUUUUAGAGGGAAGGUAACAAGUGCACUUUGGAAUAUGUUCAGUUUGAGAUGACUUGGGAAAUCGAGUCUGAAGUUUACCAGUCUUCCCAGACAACUAGAAAGGAUGGGAAAGCAGCCCAGAGCAGAAGGGCUCAAGCCUGGCCUGCCUUCCACUUUCAACCCCAGGAGCAGCACGUCGUUCUCAGGAUGAGGCGGCGCUGUGAGGAGAGCAGCCUGCAGAAAGCUUGGUUGUAUUAGCAAACGAGAGUCCUGAGCAAGCAAAACAGGUCCUUCCCUGGUCCCCUGCAAGAGAGAACCCCGUCCUCGGCUCACUCCAGAUCUCUGGAGUCAGGGAACAUCUAUUCACCUAGGCUUUCCAAAGCACAGCUCCAAGCAACUCUCACCACAGAGCUGGUGAAGGCAGGAGACAGCUGACAGGCUGCAAGCGAAUGUGACUGGGCAAUGAACCAAGCUAAAGACAAGGCAGAUACAGAGAGUGAAUUAACAGCUUGUGUGACUGACGGACGACCAGUACCCGGGAUAUAGGAGGAAAAACAGCUACCCAGCCGCAGGCAUGGAAAAGAGAAAUAAGCUAUCCGCUUAUGUAUCAACACACAAAGCUGGGACAGUAAGUGAUGCCUAAGCACAUGCAGUUACCAUCCCUGACAGCCAAAGGAACACUACUGUGAAAAGCAAGAGCCUUCAUUUUACAGCAGACACUUUGGCCAAAAUGUUUCACAUCUGACAACAGGAGGAUUUGGUGAUGUUCAACAACAAUAAAACAAUGAACUAAAAGCUGAUGAAACCAUAUAUUGAUAUAACCAUUGUGAGGAGAAAUCUGCAAUACCCCCCAAAGCUGAAAAGGCUAUGAAGAAAGUCCAGAUGGCGGGAAUAAGAGGAGUCAGGGCAAGCUUCAUUUCCUGCCUGUCCGGGAAGCACAUCACGACUGUCACACCACAUCAAGCCUGUGACUGCCCCUUCUUCACACAAGGAGUUGGAAUAAAUGGCCCCGGGCUCCCUGACCUUCUUGGCUUUUGUUUACAGCCCUGGAAGUUGACUAGGCAAAGGGAAAGCUUGAUGGAGGAGUUGUAGUGCAAACACCCUGAACUAUCACAUCCAAAGUCUUAACCAAGUCCAUGGCCACGGUCACUCAAAUUUCCUCUCGCCUCAGGCAUAAUACUAUACCUCCAGGGGGCCUACUUACCUCAUCUGUAAAAAAAAAAAAAAACGGGUACACAACAAUAACACAUCUCUGAACAGUUGUGAUAAGCAAAUGAAUAUGUAAAACGCUUUGUGAGUGUAACGUGCUAUGCAGAUGGUCACUACUAUUAAUGACCUGGAUUUUACUGCAAAGGAAACCUUGGGCCCCAUUUACAUUUCUGGCCGACAGUGACUCAUCCAACUUCCCUCCUAGAGCACCUGGUUGAGAAAACAGGCCUAGGCAUCAUCCUGCGGCUAACUGCUUGAAGAGUUCACUGAUUCCUCUUUGGGCAGGUGGGCCUCCUUGGAACUGCCUCCUCGACUCCUCUUGGAUGGCAUGUCUGCCCCGAAAAGAUGGUUACUGGUGUCUCACCACUAGUCCCUGCCUCUGCUUUUACCUACUGAAUACUCCUGCCCACCUACAUCCCGGCUCUGGGACACGGCCAAAAAGACCUUCUAGGGGCAGCAAAGCAAGAAGGUCACAACUCAGAAGACAGAUGUGGCAUUUGAAUAUAGCC